GCAAGCAGUCGGUGGUUAUAUUCGAUUAACGUUUUUGGAAAAAGUGUGGAUUUCAGCGAACAAAGGAAAGCAUGUAACUACAGAGGACAAACAUAGGGAGUGACCUACCGAGCCUGUCAUGGUAUCUGGAGUAAGUGGGCCCCACCACUGGAGCGGAGCCAUCUGGCCACCACCACCUGGUGCUCUGAUAGCCAUGCCUCUGGCUGGGAUCCUGGUCCAGUACUCUGGCUGGGAUCCUGGUCCAGUACUCUGGCUGGGAUCCUGGUCCAGUACUCUGGCUGGGAUCCUGGUCCAGUACUCUGGCUGGGAUCCUGGUCCAGUACUCUGGCUGGUCCUCCAUCUUCUAUCUGUAUGACUCGAGAGGAGUGGCAGUGGGUGUUCCUCAUCGCUGCCCUGGUUCACUACGGGAUCUUUGCAUCGGGCGAGAAGCAGCCAUGACCAGAUGCUGCUGGAAGUGGUGUUUUGUAGGGCCAGUAGGAGGCACUCUUUCCUCUGGUCUAA